GACCCUGCUGACAUUCAGUAUACUCUCACAAAGUACUUUUCAGUUUGAUUGAUUGAAUUACUCUCAAUUUAAUCUUGUAAUUUUCAAUAAACAACAAUACGUCAAGUUGAGCAUCUGCGUGUCCUCCGUAUUGCUUCUUUGGGUAAUUCAAGACUCAAGUGCUUAGCACAAGGUGUUGUGUUGUUCUACACGAAUGUCUUAAAACGGGAAUAAAUGUAUUGUGUAAAAAUUUGCGACUUGGAUGGGGUCAACGUCAGAGCACUGGAGAACCUGGGAUCCACUGUAAAUAAGCCAUACUUACUUUGUAUUUGAAGGAGAAGAAAUAAUUACUUUGCCAGACCCGCCACAUCUGAAGUGCUUCAGAAACUUAUUUAUGACAUGAUGUGAAAUUAACUAUCCCUGUCCAAUCUACAACUAUGGGAAAUACAAUAGUGACAGUGUCGCGUCUUGGAAGCAUAUUUAAAGGUUCUUUGAACCUACUUUGUAUUCUCCCCAAAACUUUAACAACAUCGCAUCCAACCCAACGGAAAAGAGAAAAUGAGGGUUAAGUUGACUGCCCAGAUAUUUAGUCACUCCGUGGCAAUGGCAAUGGGCAUUUUAUUCAAAAGCAU